UUUUUAAUGCUUUGACCAAUCUUUAAAUGCAAUUAAUAGUUUGUUAAGAUUUGAUAACAAACAACAUCUUUCAUAUAUUCAGAAAAACAGAUUUGAGUUUUAACAAUGCAGAUUUUGAGAUUUUGAAAAGUUGAGAUUGCUUAGAGAUUGAGUUUGAUCAAAGUGUGUGAGAUAGGAUUUCUGCUUGUAUUGAUUUCAGAUUUGCUUAUGUAACAAGUGUAAUCCUUGUAUCUGUUAAACAAGAAUCUUUGUGUGGUUGCUGAGAAGUGUUGUGUGUUCUUGAGGGGAUCAA
rnacentral:lncRNA from 1 species